ensembl:lncRNA
UUUCACAUAUGGGUGAUAUCAUACAGUAUUUGUCUUUGUGUCUGACUCCACUUAGUAUGAUAAUCUCUAGGCCCAUCCAGGUGGCUGCAAAUGGCAUUAUUUCAUUCUUUUCAUGGCUGAGUAAUAUUCCAUUAUAUAUAUGUGCCACAUCUUUCUCUCUUCAUCUGUGGAUGGACAUUUAGGUUGCUUCAAUGAGUUUGCUAUUAAAAACUAAGAUUUAAAAGUGUUUAUUGACCCUCUUGAUCUUCCCUCCACAUCUCAGCUUCUUACAAGAGCACUGUGAGUAGACCUGUCUCCUUUCUUAUUUUUUAUUGUUCAUCAAUUGCUCUCACUAGGAUUAUACUAACCUAUGAGAUGACAUAUCCCAGAACAUAUCUCAGACCUCUCUGAUGUGUUUAACACUCUUGACCACUCUUUCCUUCUGGAAACUCCUGCUUUGGGUCCUGGGACACCUUACCCUUGGGUUUUCUUCCUCCUGCAGAUCAUUCCUUCUGAGGCUUCUUUUUGUUGGCCUCUUCCUUAAAUGUCACUUCCUAAGGCUUCUAUCAUUGGUUCUCGAUGUUCUCUGUCUCUCAUAUUAAUCCUACCACCUGGUCUCACAUCUUAAUGGAACACACUGAUGGCAUCACCCACGCAGGCACCUGAUCCUGAAAUCCAGGAGUUGUCCUCAAUUAAUUCCUCUCUCUCAAGACCUAUAUCCAGUCGGUCAUCAAGUUCUGAGGAUUUGACUUCUUAACAGGCUCUCAGCACCAUUAGCUCCUAAUCCCUAUGCCUACUGCCACCCCUCAUCACUUUUCUCAUGGACUGCUGUAGGAGCAUAAAUGAUCCUCUGACCUCUGAUUCCAUUCCCUGAGGCACAUCUCAACAUAGCUGUAAGACAAUAUUUCAGUGUUGUAGCCUGAUCUUCCUCCACUGCUCUCUCCAUGUCCCCAAGCUCCAAUCACACCGAACUAUCUGAAAUUAACCAAAGCUGACGUGUGUUUUGUACUUCUAUGGCUUUGCACACACCUUUUGCCUUGAAUGCUCCUUCCACUACCCUUGUCCUACUGGGGGAAUUUACUACGCAUUCUUUCAAUAUUCAGCGUGGGAUUCAUUUAUGCAGUGAUGUCUUAACUGACUAACUCACCCUUCUGUGGGGCCCUUUCCCAUCCCCACCCUGCCAUCCCAGACCAUUCAAGCGGCUCUUGGACCAUUUGUACCAGUUCAUGAUUCCUAGAUGGCAAUUUUAUCCUGUUCCUUUCUGAAUAGCACUGACACAGAUCAGGUGCUUAAUGAAUGUUUACUCAAUGAAAGGAUGAAUGGUGAACAAAUCCAAUCUUCCCUCUUGAGUUUGUCCUGAUAAAAUGUGUCUCUUAAAAACAAAAUCUUCACCAAGGGGCCAAAAACCCAUGAUGACGCUGAUCAACAUGACAUGCACGCACUGGCAGCCAAGUUCAAGUAGUGCCACCUUCAAUUUACGUGUGAAAAGUGAGCACUUGGCAUCAGAGGAGAAAGAUUCAAAUAUUCUACAUAAGACUGCCGUAAAGAGAGCUCAAGGGCUAUUAUCCCAAGGGACAUGCCUUCAGUCUCAGUAAUUGUAUAAACCAGGGUUCACAUUUCACGCAGAACUUUCUAACACAAAUUGGAAACAGGAGACAGUUAAACCAGUCAAAGGAAAAGCGUGGCUUUGAAACACAAGGAACCACACAUGCAUUUUACAUUAAAUGCUGUUGUAAUCUGCUCACAGAACGUAGUACAAAAAUUAUCCUAAAAGUCAUAGCUUGUAAAUUUGAUAUGUAAAUAGGGAUUUAAAAUUAGAAAUCUCCAUGGCCACUGAAUACUAAAAGAGUAAAAAGAAAAAGGAAAUGAAAGAUAAAAGACCCAGUUUCAAAUUCUCUGGGAUGCAUCUCCUUUCUGCUUGAUCAGUGGGAGGCCAGUUAUCACAUUCAAUGUACUGAGUAAACACGGGGUUUACGGAAAAUGGACCUUUUUAUGAAAAAUCAUGGGUCAACCAUCUCUAUGACAGAUCUACUUUUAAAAGAAACACACUUUU